GAUGAACGCUGGCGGCGUGCCUAAUACAUGCAAGUCGAGCGAGAUGUUAGCGCAUGAACCUUCGGGGGAUUAUGCCAACGGACAGCGGCGGACGGGUGAGUAACGCGUAGGCAACCUGCCCCUGACAGAGGGAUAGCCAUUGGAAACGAUGAUUAAAACCUCAUGACACCGUAGAAGCCCAUGCUUCAUCGGUCAAAGAUUUAUCGGUCAGGGAUGGGCCUGCGUCUGAUUAACUAGUUGGUGAGGUAACGGCUCACCCAGGUGACGAUCAGUAGCCGACCUGAGAGGGUGAUCGGCCACAUUGGAACUGAGACACGGUCCAAACUUCUACGGAAGGCAGCAGUAGGGAAUCUUGCACAAUGGGCGAAAGCCUGAUGCAGCAACGCCGCGUGAAGGAUGAAGGCCUUUGGGUUGUAAACUUCUGUUCUAAGGGAAGAAACAAAUGACGGUACCUUAGGAGCAAGCCCCGGCUAACUACGUGC
rnacentral:rRNA from 1 species